rnacentral:rRNA from 1 species
CCCUUAGAUGUUCUGGGCCGCACGCGCGCUACACUGAUACAUUCAACGAGUCUAAAACCUGCUCUGAUAGGGGUGGGUAAUCUUUUGAAUGUGCAUCGUGAUUGGGAUAGAUGAUUGCAAUUUUUCAUCUUCAACGAGGAAUGCCUAGUAAACGCAAGUCAUCAGCUUGCAUUGAUUACGUCCCUGCCCUUUGUACACACCGCCCGUCGCUCCUACCGAUUGAAUGAUCCGAUGAAUAUCAUGGAUUGAGGAUGUAAGCAGGUUCGCCUGUCUUCAUCUUCGAGAAGUGAAGUAAAUCUUAUCAUUUAGAGGAAGGAGAAGUCGUAACA